rnacentral:rRNA from 1 species
ACGGCCAUGCUAUGCUGAAUAUACCAGUUCUCAUUCGAUCACCGAAGUCAAGCAUCAUCGGCCUCGCUCAGUACUUGGGAGGGUGACCACCUGGGAACACUGCAUGCUGUU